GCCCGCACUGAAACAGUGCUGGUGAACGGCGGCCGUAACUAUAACGGUCCUAAGGUAGCGAAAUUCCUUGUCGGGUAAGUUCCGACCCGCACGAAAGGC
rfam:Brachypodium distachyon strain Bd21 chromosome 1, whole genome shotgun sequence.